rnacentral:lncRNA from 1 species
UAUGUAUAUAUUAGAGCUGUUAUAUUAUCGAAAAUAUAGAGGAUUUAAUAUUUUGGACUUUUUUGACCCUUGAAUCAAGAAUUCUACGAUUGGAAUGAUUGCGCUCUCUCCUAGGAUUGAGUGGUAUUCCUAGAUUGAGUGGUCUCUACAGGAUAAUAAUAUCCCUAGCAUAAUAGCUCUACUAUAUAUAUAUAGAGCUAGGCUGCUAUGCUUUCGAAAGUACGGAGACCUUCAUAUUUAUAAGUUGUUUUCAAUGAUGCAGCAUCUGAUUCGGCGAUCGGAUUCAUUAGAUAUGAUUUACGUUAUUGGAACUAUUUAAAAAUCAAAUUUUAUAAUUUUUUGACUUUAUUUGUCUAAUGAAUGAGUAUAUUCAAAAUAAACGGCUGAAAAUAAAAACUUCACAAAAAAUAGUGAUAAAAGACUCAAAUUUCAAAUCAAAAGUAUUAUUCUUGUUCUUGAUGUUAAGUAGAAUUUUCUAUUAAAGUUUCAUAUAAUUUAGAUUCUUCUACACUGUUGAACUUUAAAACAUGCCACAUUGGUCAUUAAAAUAGCCAUUUUUUAGGCUCUUUGAUCACUUGGUAAAUAAUGUCAAAAAAUUAUGAAAUUUGGUUUCUAAAUAGCUCUAAUAGUGUAGAUCAUGCCUAACAGAACCGAUCGCUGAAUCGGAUGCUCCAUCAUUAAAAACAACUUAUAAGCACGGAAGCCUCCCUACUUUUGAAAGUAUAGAAGACGUACUCAUAUAUAUAUAUAUAUAUAUAUAUAUAUAUAUCUAUAUAUAUAU